UCAUCAGGUAGAGUUAAUUCUUACCUGAGGGCCUUAGAGCCUUCAGACCAAAUGAUGACACUGGGACAUGAAUUGAAUGAUUUAUAACCCAAUGGAUUCUGAGGACUUGCAACGCUCCAGGGUCUUAGUCUGAU